GACGAACGCUGGCGGCGUGCUUAACACAUGCAAGUCGAACGGAAAGGCCCUGCUUGCAGGGUACUCGAGUGGCGAACGGGUGAGUAACACGUGGGUGAUCUGCCCUGCACUUCGGGAUAAGCCUGGGAAACUGGGUCUAAUACCGGAUAGGAGCCAUUUUUAGUGUGAUGGUUGGAAAGUUUUUUCGGUGUAGGGUGAGCUCGCGGCCUAUCAGCUUGUUGGUGGGGUAAUGGCCUACCAAGGCGGCGACGGGUAGCCGGCCUGAGAGGGUGGACGGCCACAGUGGGACUGAGAUACGGCCCAGACUCCUACGGGAGGCAGCAGUGGGGAAUAUUGCACAAUGGGCGCAAGCCUGAUGCAGCGACGCCGCGUGGGGGAGGACGGCCUUCGGGUUGUAAACUCCUUUCGCUAGGGACGAAGCUUUUUGUGACGGUACCUAGAUAAGAAGCACCGGCUAACUACGUG
rnacentral:rRNA from 1 species